AAUGGGUCAGCGACUUAUAUUCUGUAGCAAGGUUAACCGAAUAGGGGAGCCGAAGGGAAACCGAGUCUUAACUGGGCGUUAAGUUGCAGGGUAUAGACCCGAAACCCGGUGAUCUAGCCAUGGGCAGGUUGAAGGUUGGGUAACACUAACUGGAGGACCGAACCGACUAAUGUUGAAAAAUUAGCGGAUGACUUGUGGCUGGGGGUGAAAGGCCAAUCAAACCGGGAGAUAGCUGGUUCUCCCCGAAAGCUAUUUAGGUAGCGCCUCGUGAAUUCAUCUCCGGGGGUAGAGCACUGUUUCGGCAAGGGGGUCAUCCCGACUUACCAACCCGAUGCAAACUGCGAAUACCGGAGAAUGUUAUCACGGGAGACACACGGCGGGUGCUAACGUCCGUCGUGAAGAGGGAAACAACCCAGACCGCCAGCUAAGGUCCCAAAGUCAUGGUUAAGUGGGAAACGAUGUGGGAAGGCCCAGACAGCCAGGAUGUUGGCUUAGAAGCAGCCAUCAUUUAAAGAAAGCGUAAUAGCUCACUGGUCGAGUCGGCCUGCGCGGAAGAUGUAACGGGGCUAAACCAUGCACCGAAGCUGCGGCAGCGACACUAUGUGUUGUUGGGUAGGGGAGCGUUCUGUAAGCCUGUGAAGGUGUACUGUGAGGUAUGCUGGAGGUAUCAGAAGUGCGAAUGCUGACAUAAGUAACGAUAAAGCGGGUGAAAAGCCCGCUCGCCGGAAGACCAAGGGUUCCUGUCCAACGUUAAUCGGGGCAGGGUGAGUCGACCCCUAAGGCGAGGCCGAAAGGCGUAGUCGAUGGGAAACAGGUUAAUAUUCCUGUACUUGGUGUUACUGCGAAGGGGGGACGGAGAAGGCUAUGUUGGCCGGGCGACGGUUGUCCCGGUUUAAGCGUGUAGGCUGAUUUUCCAGGCAAAUCCGGAAAAUCAAGGCUGAGGCGUGAUGACGAGGCACUACGGUGCUGAAGCAACAAAUGCCCUGCUUCCAGGAAAAGCCUCUAAGCAUCAGGUAACAUCAAAUCGUACCCCAAACCGACACAGGUGGUCAGGUAGAGAAUACCAAGGCGCUUGAGAGAACUCGGGUGAAGGAACUAGGCAAAAUGGUGCCGUAACUUCGGGAGAAGGCACGCUGAUAUGUAGGUGAAGCGACUUGCUCGUGGAGCUGAAAUCAGUCGAAGAUACCAGCUGGCUGCAACUGUUUAUUAAAAACACAGCACUGUGCAAACACGAAAGUGGACGUAUACGGUGUGACGCCUGCCCGGUGCCGGAAGGUUAAUUGAUGGGGUUAGCGGUAACGCGAAGCUCUUGAUCGAAGCCCCGGUAAACGGCGGCCGUAACUAUAACGGUCCUAAGGUAGCGAAAUUCCUUGUCGGGUAAGUUCCGACCUGCACGAAUGGCGUAAUGAUGGCCAGGCUGUCUCCACCCGAGACUCAGUGAAAUUGAACUCGCUGUGAAGAUGCAGUGUACCCGCGGCAAGACGGAAAGACCCCGUGAACCUUUACUAUAGCUUGACACUGAACAUUGAGCCUUGAUGUGUAGGAUAGGUGGGAGGCUUUGAAGUGUGGACGCCAGUCUGCAUGGAGCCGACCUUGAAAUACCACCCUUUA
rnacentral:rRNA from 1 species